CUUGUUCCGCUAGAGUCGCAGAAGCGUCAGUGGCUGUCUCUGCGGCUGCGUGGCGGGUUGUCCAGGUAACCACGGGAGUUGUCGCUGUCCGGUAGCAUCUGAGCAAUAGUUGCGCGUCAGGCAGUUGAAGCACCUGAGGACCCUGCUGAGCUCUCAGUACCUGGGUGCCAAGAAACUGAAGUUUAAUGAUGUGGAGCUCCUACUUUGUGCAGAAGGCUGGAAAACGGAAGGCUGGAAAGGAUAUAGCGAUGACCCAGACCCUGUCCUGUCGAUACAGUUCAGGAGAUUGCUGAGGAGCUUUAUACUAAGGGAGACCGGACAAAAGACGCUAUAGACGUGAACACCCAGGCUGGCCGUUGGGAACAAG